UCUUGAAAUUUUAAGAAUUUGGCGGUGCUUUAGUCCAGUUAGAGGAACUUGUUUUCGUAGAACGAUAAACCACGUAGAAUCUUACUUUUUUUAUUUAGUUUGUAUACCGUCAUUAUUAGGUGAUUUUUAAAAAAUUAAUCAUUAAAAUAAAGCUAGGUUUAGUAUAUUAGAUCAAGGUGCAGCUUAUAAAAAAGUGGAAAUGGGUUACAAUAAAUUUUAUUUAUAUGGAUUUAUAUUAGGAUUAAUUUAAUAAAGGUGGAUUUAAUUGUAGUUUGAGUUUAAUAUGCUUUGAUGAUAUAGGCCCUAGAGUAAGUACAUAUCGCCCGUCGCAAAUAG
rnacentral:rRNA from 1 species